CAAGGGCUGCUGGGCUGCCAGAGGGAUGUCUGAUUGCCAGCUUAGGCCCAAUCCCUGGGGAAGCAGGCCUACGCCAGCAGGUGGUCAUCCCCCAAGGGGUCCCAGACUGCGAGAGGGCACAGGCCGGGCUGAGGGACGCCCCCCUUCCCCCGAGGGCACAAAUUUUUGUACACCGGGCCUUUAGUAAAUCUAUAAUAAUUAAAAUAUUGUGGUGCUAAUGGAAACCAGAACAAGGAAAUUAUAUAAAAGGCCUAGAGACAGACCAAAGGUUUAUUAUACAAUAUGAUGGUAUUUCCUAUCAGUGUGAAAAGGAUGGCUUAGUCAAUAAAUAAUAACAAUAAGCAAUUCUUAGGAGGGAUUUUUUAUAUGUUAGUACUGGUUGGAGGGCUUUAUAUUUGUUUGCUUUAAUCUGUACAACCCUGUAAAGCAAGCAUUAUUUUUCUCCAUGUCUAACUUUACCCAGAUCACAGGUGAGUAGUGGUAGAGCCAGGAUUCAAAUCCAAGCAGUCUGGCUCAGAGCUCAUGCUUUAAGCAACUCAGUUUCUUCUAUAAUUAGUUGCAUUAAAUAAUGACUUUUGGGAAAAGAUAAAAUGAGAUCUCUGCCUUACACAGCAUAUUAAAACAAAUUUAUGAUGGAUAAACAUUAAAAUACAUUCCAAGUGAAUUAAAGACUUAAAGGUUAAAAACUGUCUUAUGAGUUAGAAACAUUAGGUGUAUUCAGUGACUGCUUAUGUGUCAGACUACUUUGUCUGGUUACAUUAAUAAAUUUAAACAGUAUAAACAUCAAUUAUUGUAAGAAUGUAGGUAAAAUAGGACUCAUAUAUUUGAGGUAUUAUUAAGAAUUGACACAACCUAUUGGGAAGUAUUGUGCAUUAUAUUAAAAGACCUUUAAAGUAAGUAUUUUUUAAAUAAGACCAUGGAGGGGGGAAAAGAACUUAUUGGUAUACUUGCUCACAAUAAAAUACUAAAUGUUAAUUCUGUAUUCUGAUCCAAUAAAUCCAUUUACAAGAACCUAGUCUAAUCCUAAAUAUGAAAUACUUAAUAUAUUUUGUUAAUAGAAAAAUUAGAAACAACUUGAAGAGGAUAAUAGGGAUAUGGUUAACAUAGUGGAAUAUACAGCUUUCAAAAAUAUCUUAAGUUUAUAUAAGGAUGGAAACAUUUAUCAAAGAAUGUUAAGUGAUGUAAAAGGACAAAAAUGUUUUACUUCUAAGUAUGGUACAGUUAUAACCAUGUAAAAAUGUUACUUUUUAUCAUGCAAAUGCAGCAUGUGGGCCUUUUCGGAUCCUGAUUUGAACUCAGCUGUAUACCCACACACACACACCCAACACAAGCACAAUUCUUGAGACAGAGAAAUUUGAACAUGGACUGGAUGUUGGCUAUCAAUGAAUUGUUAAUUUCGUUAUAUGUAAUAAUGCAUGUUAUUACAUAAAUACACACACUUUGUGAGAUAUUGAAGUUGACAUAUGUGUACAUAUGUCAGGGAUUUGCUUUAAAAUACUCUUAGCAAAAAAUGGUGGGGAGAGUUGAAACAAGAUCGGUUACUAAUUUAUAAUUGUUGAUGCUGAAUGAUAGUUCAUUAUCCUAUUUUCCUUUUUUUUGGAAAAUUUUCUACAGUAAAGGUUAAAGAAAAAAAAAUGAAAGCACUAGGGACAAGGAACAAUGGUCUAUGCCAGGGGAACAAAAGAAUAAAAAAAUAAUGGGAAAUACAGGUUAUGUUCUGUUUGUUUUUUGUUUUUCAUGAUAUAAUUCUAUUCCUUAGAAUUAAUCCUAAUACUAAACUUUUUUAAAAAUAGGAAAAAUGCAUGCAUGAAAUGAUUAUUUUAAGAAUGUCCAUAAUAGAAAUAACAUGACAACAAGCUCUAACAGCCAGAGAAUGAAUAAAUUAUAUUGUCUCUAAUCAGAGGAAUGUUAGGCUACCAUCUGGAAAAAUAACAAUGAAGAGUGAGUUAUCAGAUAAAAAAUGUAAUUACACAUCUAUCCAAAUAAAAAUUAUUACAUUUGAAAUAUGAAAUGAUUGAAAGGAAAUAUACAAAAAUAAAAUUAUAUGCUAUUAGGUGAGAUGAGAUGACUUAUUCUAAUGUUGCUCUUUUACCUAACUUUUACAAAGUCGGACAGUGUAAAUGUGUUAGGCACAGAAUUAAUGUCUCAAUAUUGUAAUGACAUGUUAAUAAUUGGAAAUUAAGAGCUAAGAAUAGGACAUUUGAGUUGAAUGCUGUAUUAAGAAAAUCAGUGAAGGAAUCUUUGUAUUCCAAUCUCUCCUCCCCUACCACUCCCAACCCAAAUAGUUAAGCAGUAAUUGGGCCCCACUGUAUAUAAGUGUCUUAAGUAGCUAGUCAUAAAUUUUUCUUUUACUGUUAGUGAUUUCUAGAGAAUUAAGUAAAACUAGAAGUCAUUUAUCGAGUACCUACUCUGUGCCAGGUAGACUGUUAAGUGCUGAAGAAUCAAAGGUGAAUCAGGAAAUCAAAUUAUAAUGUGAUAGGGGAAAGCAGACAGAAAUAAUUGAAAUGAUAGGCACAUCUAAAAAUAUUCCAAAAAGAAGGAGUGUAUAACUCUGCCUAGAGGAAGAAAGGUUAAGGGUGAUGGGAAAAAGGCAAGAGGAACGGCAGUAAGAUAGUGAUGCUUUACUUAACUGGAACUUAGAGGAAGGAAAGGACUCAAAUCAUUGCUCUCAAACUUUAAUGUGAAGAUUACUUGGGGAUAUUGAUAGAAUGUAGAUUCUGAUUCAGUAAGUCUAGAAUGGGGUCUGAGAUUCUGUAUUUCUAACAAGGUCCCAGGUGAUUCAAAUGCUUUUAGCCUAUAUUGAGUAACAAAAUUUUAAAAUGGAAACAAACAUGUGACUUGUCAUGGAGCCAUGUAAGAGUGUGAUGUGUUCAUGCAUUUGUGUAGGGUGAAUUGUGUGAAGGUAAGUAGAGAGAUGUUUAUGUUUGCCAGAAUUUGGAUUUAUCCUGGGCUGUCUACAAUAGUUGGCAACUGUGACAGCACUGCUUACUUCAAGUAACAAGGAAGUAGGGAAAAGACAAAUUGUAGUGGGUUGAAGAGUGAAUAGAUUAGUGGCCAUUUGUGAGAAAAUAACAGAAAAAUCCCAUUUAAGUGCCUGUAUACAUCAGAAUAUUCAGUCAUGAAAGGUAAGAAUAUGGAAUGGUUUCAGAUCCAAAAAAACUUGAGACCUGAACUAAAUGCAGAGUGAUCAGAAUUUUCUAUAAGAAUAUCAUAGGAAUAAUUGGUGAAAUCUGAAUAUGGUUUAUAGUUAACUAACAAUAUUAAUUUCUUGAUUUUGAUCAGAGUGAAUAUGUUAAGAGAAUGCCUGUUUUUGGAAAAUACAUUUGGACAUAUAGGGACAUCCUGUCAGUAACUUAAUUUCAUUGGGAGUUCAGGAAGAUAAAGCAAAUGUGAUAAAUGUUAACAUUUUGGGGAAUCUCAGUAAAGGGUAUAUUGGACUUCUUUGUACUAUUGCCAAGUUUUCUGUGAAUCUGAAAUUAUGUCAAAUUAAAGUCUGUUACUUUCUGAGUGGACAGAUGAGAGGAACAGUGGCACAACCACACAAGCCAGAAGCCUAGGGCUCAGCCUUCCUACCCACCACAUUCCCACAUCUAAACCCAUGUUCAGUGCAAUCUUACGGAUCUGUUUCAAAUCUGCUACUCUAUCUUCAUCUCUACCUCUCGCAGUCCAACUUAAUAACUCGUCUAUACCACUGAAAAUAGCCUAUUUGAUUUUUUAUUUCCUUCCAAUUUCUGUACUGUGAUCUUUUCAGAAUGCAAACCUAAUGCCACAUCUGUUCUCUCUCCAACUCCAUUCCCUUCAAAUAUUUGAUGGAAUAUUCUUAAUGGAGAAGCCCUACCUACAUAGACCGGCUCCUUGUUCUUAGUUCAUUUUCAUCAUGCUUCCUUACUCUACACUACUGCUAUUGUUCUUGCCAAAUUGUCCUACUCCUUUUUGCCUUCACACAUACCAUUCUUUCUUCCCUUUGCCAUCAGCUAUUUGUGUUCAUAUUUUAAAUCUAUCACUUUAUCUCAGGAAGCCUUUCCUAGAGUUCUCUUUACUCUUAACUUCUCUCAAUAAUACCAUCUUCCAGUUGCAGUUUUGGAGAUAAUGCCUAUACACUACAUCAUGGGCAGGGACCAUUCUGGUUUUUGCUCACCAUUGUGUUCUCAGAGCAUAACACACUGUCUGGCAUGUAAUUGGAUCUCUAUGAAAUUAUUGACUGAAUAAAUGAAAAGGGAAGACAGGAUAUAGGAGAUACUGGGUCAAGUUGUGUUUUAGGAUGGAAUCUAGUAGGAGAGGAUUUGGGAGAGCAAGAACCCAAAGGCUGGGAUGGUUAUUAUAAAUAGAACAGA